CGUAACAAGGUCUCCGUAGGUGAACCUGCGGAGGGAUCAUUACAAGAACGCCCGGGCUACGGCCUGGUUAUUCAUAACCCUUUGUUGUCCGACUCUGUUGCCUCCGGGGCGACCCUGCCUUCGGGCGGGGGCUCCGGGUGGACACUUCAAACUCUUGCGUAACUUUGCAGUCUGAGUAAACUUAAUUAAUAAAUUAAAACUUUUAACAACGGAUCUCUUGGUUCUGGCAUCGAUGAAGAACGCAGCGAAAUGCGAUAAGUAAUGUGAAUUGCAGAAUUCAGUGAAUCAUCGAAUCUUUGAACGCACAUUGCGCCCCCUGGUAUUCCGGGGGGCAUGCCUGUUCGAGCGUCAUUUCACCACUCAAGCCUCGCUUGGUAUUGGGCAACGCGGUCCGCCGCGUGCCUCAAAUCGUCCGGCUGGGUCUUCUGUCCCCUAAGCGUUGUGGAAACUAUUCGCUAAAGGGUGUUCGGGAGGCUACGCCGUAAAACAACCCCAUUUCUAAGGUUGACCUCGGAUCAGGUAGGGAUACCCGCUGAACUUAAGCAUAUC
rnacentral:rRNA from 1 species